rnacentral:ncRNA from 1 species
GGUCGUUAUGCCCUAAGAUAAUCUGGGUUGCACGCGCAAUACAAUAAUAUUUGAUAUUAUAAGGGGAUAGGAGAAUGUAAGAUAUAUUUAGAACAUGGAAUUGCUAGUAAAUUUUAUUUAAUAAGUAGAAUUGAAUGAGUCCCUGUUCUUUGUACACACCGCCCGUCGCUAUCUAAGAUGGUAUUAUCUAUGAACAAAUUUAUAAAGUGAAUAGAUAGUACUAGAUCUGAUAUAAGUCGUAACAUGGUUGCUGUUGGAGAACCAUUAGCAGGAUCAUAA